UGUGUCGCUUCCUCUGUCUCUUCCCAAUCCUCGUUGUUUCCUCUUUGCCAUUUCACACACGCAUCCCCCGGAACAGAGGUUGGGAGAGAUAGCCAUGGCGAUUUGGAUCUCCCUCUCGGCGAUCGACGCAGUUGGUUGUUGGUGACUCGUCUGUGCUCUGUCCCGCUCCCCUGCUGCCUCCGCGCCCCGCUCGACCUCCCGUCGAUUGUCUGCCCCCGCACCAACCCCGGCCACAAUUUUCCCCCUCCCGUCGUUUUUGUUCGUCUGAUUCGGCAUUUUCUCUUGUUCCGUAGAUCUGAAUGGUAGUUUUAGGGGUUUCUUAGUCAGAUCUUGUUGUUGUGUGUAUUUCCCCCGCAUUCAUUCGUGUAGAUGUGUGAGGUUCCGCCGGGUUUGAUUCUCGUUUGCCAUGGCGGAUUUAGGAGGCGGAGUGCCCUGUGGUAGGUGGAGGUAGUUCCAGUUUCUAAGGCCGCUCGUCCCAGUCCAUGGCGGGGCGAGGUGACUGGGGGUGGGGUGCUCCUUGAAGGGGUUUCACUGUUAGUUUGAUUUGAUCUGUAACUGCGGUGUGUUAACUUGUUUAGUUGUACUAUUAUGCGAUAGUGAUCUAUUCCUAGGUUGUGCAUGUAGGUUUCCCCUAGGAUGACAUCCACUUGGUUGCGUGGUUGUAGUUUUGGCAAUAUAGUUGACACACAUCCACCUUCAUGUGGAUACAGGACUAUAUGAAUGAGUGAGUUGAAGUUGUUGUCAGUGGUUGUUUUGCACUGUAAUUCUGAAUUGAUUCAUAGUGUAUUCCCCAUUUGUUAUUACAGUGUAAUUUCUAGUGGAUUUACAGUGUAUUUUCGCUAUAGAUUUACAAUGUAGUUCUCACUGGAUUUACACUGUAAUUCCUAGUAGAUUUGCAGUGUCUUUUCUUAGGGGUUUUACACUGUAAUUUCUAGUGGAUUGUACAGUGUAAUCCCCAAUGGAUUUACAGUGUAUUUCCUAGGGGUUUUACAGUGUAAUUCUUAGGCGUUUUACACUGUAAUUCUUACUGGAUUGGGUGAUGAUUGCCUUUAGUCUAUCACCUACGUUCUGCUCCACUCAUUCUGUAUUGUUUCUAGCACUACCAUAACCCACUGCCAUGCUACUACUAGUAAUCCCAACCACUACACUGAACAAAUAAAGUGUAUAUUUGCACUGUAAUUUCAUUUAUUUCAUUGUAAUUUCAGUAGUGUGCAACUUGCAGUGUUUUUCCCUGAAAUUUUCCAGUUUCUCAGUGUUCCUUUUAGUGAUUUUGCAGUGUAACUUGCAAUGAUUUGUAUUGCUAUUUUCCAGUAUUUUUUAGUGUUAUUACUUAAAGCGGAGUAGUUUUGUAAAUGUGUAUGCUCAUCCGUGCAAUUUCAUUCAGUUAGUCUCACACCGAGUCAUUUUGGUAUAUAUUUUCAGGAAAAUCCCUUCAAUCUGUGCAUGUACAUUCAUGGACUCUAAUUCAGAAUUUUCAGGAAAUAGUGAUUUUACACUGUAAUUCUAAUUGGAUUUACAGUGUAAUUCUUUAGUGUAUUUUAGUGGUUGAUUACAGUGUAAUUCUUAGUGUAGCUAAACUGUAAUUUUUGUACUUACAGUCUAUGUACUGGAAUUUUCCGGUCUAACUUGCAGUGUAAUUACACUGUACUUUCAGUGUAAUUAAUCUGUUUAUUAUGUGUAAUUAAGCUGAAUUUUUGUACUUACAGUCUAUGCACUGAUACUUUCCAGUCUAAUUUACAAUGUAAAUACACUGUAAUUUUCAGUGUAAUUAACCUAUUUUUUGUAGUUACAGUCUAUGUACUAAAAUUUUGCAGUCUAAAUUGCAGUGUAAUUACACUAUAAAUUCAGUGCAAUUUGUAAUGUAAUUACACUCAGCGUUUAACCUGUGUUUUAAUCUGAAUUUUUGUUCUUGUAGUCUAUGUACAAUAUUUUUCCAAGCUAAAUUGCAGUGUAACUCUACUGUAAUUUUUUAAUCACAUUUAUGUCCUAUAAGGCUUGUGGGCAGGCACCCCUUGUUAUUUCUCCUGAUGGCAAUGUAAAUUGUUCAGAGAAGCCACAUAGACGAGUUUCCUUUGCAGCACAUUGUACAUCAGUGUUGAGUUUUCAUCAAAAAUGGGAGGAGGCUUGGUUGAGUGUAUCAUGUGAUCAUUUUUCCUCCAGCUGUCUAUGAUAUACUUGUCAGAUGUCAAGUGGUAGGAGAGAGAUCUUGGAGGAGUGGGUGCAUAAGAGGGGGGUGUUUACCUGUGUUUUUUCUGCAUCUCCUGCAUAAUUUGUGUCCCAGAUCAUGGAGGAAUUGCCCUCUCUUGUGUGGACCCAUUCAAGUUCAUGUUGCCGGUGUGUUUACAGUGCAUUUUCUUAGUGGAUUUACAGUGUAAUUCUAAGUGGAUUUACACUGUAAUUCCUACUGGAUUUACAUUGUUUUUCUUAGUGGAUUUCCAGUGUAAUUCCAAGUAGAUUUAUAGUGUAAUUUUAAGUCGAUUUACACUGUAAUUCCUACUGGAUUUAUAGUGUUUAUCUUAGUGGAUUCCAGUGUAAUUCUAAGUAGAUUUACAGUGUAAUUUUAAGUGGAUUUGCACUUUGGAUUUAUAGUGUUUUUCUUAGUGGAUUUGCAGUGUAAUUCUAAGUAGAUUUACAGCGUAAUUCUAAGUGGAUUUACAGAGUUUUUCUUAGUGGAUUUCCACUGAAAUGUUUAAUGUAAUUAUUUAAUACAAAUUAUUUGGAUUGUUAUUGUAUUUUUA